CAACCUUAAGGAAUUGCUAGAGAUCCAUGGAUGAGUCCUUGAACACAGUCCGGUGCACUGACUUGAAGCAAUCCUGUAGCUGUUCCUCUGCCUCCUGCAACCACCUCUGUGAAGUCCCAAUCUCUGGAGCCUUUGUCCUUAGCCUCUACCUGUAUGCAGGAGGCAUGAGGGCUGGUGACCACCCCAUAGGUCAGCAAGUCAGCGAGCCCAGAACUUGAGGCCUGGUAUCCGAGAUCCCCCCCUUGGCGAGUUCUGGGGUUGGUAAUGAAGACUGAAGCCAGAAGUCCUGUCCGUGGCCUGGAAUUCAG